rnacentral:rRNA from 1 species
UGCCUACGGGCGGCUGCAGUGGGGAAUAUUGCGCAAUGGAGGAAACUCUGACGCAGCAACGCCGCGUGGGUGAUGAAGGCCUUCGGGUCGUAAAGCCCUGUCAGCAGGGAAGAAACUCCGGGAUUCAAAUAGGGUCUCGGAUUGACGGUACCUGCGGAGGAAGCACCGGCUAACUCCGUGCCAGCAGCCGCGGUAAAACGGAGGGUGCAAGCGUUGUUCGGAAUUACUGGGCGUAAAGCGCGUGCAGGUGGUCUUUUAAGUUUCGUGUGAAAUCCCAUGGCCUAACCAUGGAACUGCACGGAAAACUGGAAGACUUGAAUACGGGAGAAGAGGGCGGAAUUCCCAGUGUAGAGGUGAAAUUCGUAGAUAUUGGGAGGAACACCGGUGGCGAAAGCGGCUCUCUAGACCGAUAUUGACGCUCAUACGCGAGAGCGUGGGUAGCAAACAGGAUUAGAUACCCGGGUAGUCC